UACGGAGGGUGUAAACGUUAAUCGGAAUUACUGGGCGUAAAGCGCACGCAGUGGGUCAGUCAAGUCGGAUGCGAAAUCCCCGGGCUCAACCUGGGAACUGCAGCCGAAACUGGCAGGCUAGAGUCUUGUAGAGGGGGGUAGAAUUCCAGGUGUAGCGGUGAAAUGCGUAGAGAUCUUGAGGAAUACCGGUGGCGAAGGCGGCCCCCUGGACAAAGACUGACGCUCAGGUGCGAAAGCGUGGGGAGCAAACAGG
rnacentral:misc_RNA from 1 species